UUGAACAGUAGCAGUGUGAGCUGGGCAUGACCAUUUACCUGUCUCUGACACUUGGUUGGCUAUCCCUCCUGUCAGUCACCCCUGGGAUGCUUUAGAUUGGCCAAGUUAGGUGUCAAUCAAAAAGUAAGAAGUUGGUCUGUCAAUCUAUACUGGUAUUACCGGCAGAAAAAGUAAAUUAUGGACAUUAUCUUUGAGGAAAACGGAAAAAUCACCAACAUAGAUCUCAGGUUGGACAAAUAUUCCUGCAGUUUCUGUGCCUUUGUGGAUUUUACGUGCGUUUUGGAGCUAAAUAC